rnacentral:rRNA from 1 species
UACGUAGGGGGCAAGCGUUGUCCGGAUUUAUUGGGCGUAAAGAGCGUGUAGGCGGCUUUACAGGUCCGUUGUGAAAACUCGAGGCUCAACCUCCGAGACGCCGGUGGAAACCGUAAAGCUAGAGUCCGGAAGAGGAGAGUGGAAUUCCUGGUGUAGCGGUGAAAUGCGCAGAUAUCAGGAAGAACACCCGUGGCGAAGGCGGUCUCUGGGACGGUACUGACGCUGGAGACGCGAAAGCGUGGGGAGCGAACAGG